AUUCACUGUAGAGCGAAAAGCAGCACAAAGCAGAGUGGUGCCUUACUGUGAGUUGAAGAAGUGCGUGUGAGAGGAUUGUGAACGCAGCUCCCAGGACCCACAAUGCCCCUUCGAUGUGCCGAAGAGAAAUCUAAUGAUGAAAUUGCUUUGGAGAGCUAAAAUGAAGAUUGGAUAUAUGUGGGUUCCGGUUCCGGUUUAAGAUGGAGGCAGUGCUAAGAACUUUCUUUUGAAGGUGAAGACCUGAUGAUCUAAAUAUACAGUACUGGUAAAAAAAAAAUAUAUAGGUCGCUAUCAAUAUGCCAUCAAAUGUACAGCGUAAGCGAGCAGCUCAGAAAGCCAAAUAUGCUGAGAAUAAAAGGAAGACUGCUGUAAGUGACAUCUCCACACCACACCAUCCUGCACAUCAUACUUAUUACCAUGAACAUCACACAGAAAUUUUGGAUAGUUGCUCAAAAAGAAGACCUAUGAGGAGAAACCAAAGGGCAACAAAGAACACCAACAUAUUAGCCAAGCGGUCAAUUGAAGCCAUUGUGGGUCUGGGUGGAGAAGAGGACCUUGAUGGAGCAGAUCAGGACAUGAUACAAGGCGCAUGGGUGGCGUCUGAAACAGAUGAAUGAUGUCUGAAAACCACGGACGUCUUGGCCAAUAUGAUGCCACCAACACGACACUCUAUUAAGACGUCCUGUAAUGCCGUGUCCCCAAAUAAUUUGGAACCCAAUAAGGGCACAGAUGCCAGAUUACCCCUAGAGGGGGCAUCUACAUCCCAAUGAUUAAGCCAAAGGUGUCUGCGAGAAACCACUGCAUCCGCUAUAGCUCUACACGAAAAUUGGGAAGCGUCCAUAGUUGCAUCCGCUAUAAAGCUCAGAUCGAGAGGAAAAAAAGGGGGGGAGUGAAACUGACAAGAGAAUACUCUGACAGAAGCUGGGAAGAUACAGAGGAGGUGAGGUGAAACUGACAGAAAGUGAGAAGCAGAUCAGAAGACAAACAGCAACUGACGUUUCCUUCAGCCCACUUCUGAUUGGCUGCUGCUGCUGCUGCUAGAAGGAAGGCUCAGGCUGUGUCCCCCCCCCAGAAAAACUGAAACUGACAAGAGAAUACUCUGACAGAAGUGGGGAAGAUACAGAGGACAGGAGGUGAAACUGACAGAAAGAAAAAACUGCCAGAAGUGGAUGGGAAGACAAACAGAGGGACGCUCCAUGGUCCCCGUCGUAUAAAACCUCUUGCCAACCGCAGAAGGCUAGAUGUUUAAAGCGUAAACAAGCAGGAAAUGAGUCAGAAAAAAUGCAUCAUAGAACUUAUGAAAAAGGUGAACCAGUUUUUCACAGCAGAUAUUUCAAAAGCACAUCUUCUGCAGAUGAAACUGUAAUUAGAUAUUUGAAUGCCCAAGCAGCAAUUGAUGCCUUAUGAAGUUCACAGGUUUUCUUUAAAGCUGUAUCAGAGGAGGAAAAGACUGAGGAAUCCAGAGAGGAUGAAUAUGCUAAAACUUCUCAGAGUACCACAGCCCAGGAUGAUGAACUCAAAGAAUUACAAUUGGGAGAAUCUUCAGCUUCUUCUGCCAGUACCUCCAGUGCCCACAGGCUAUAUAUUUUAAAGCAGCAUCAGCGUGAUGCCAAACUGGAAAAACUGAAGGAACGACUUAGAAAGCGGUGAGGGCUUCCAGAAGAAUUGCGUAGCAGAGGGAAUCAUCUGGAAUAUGGUGAUGACCCGAUACCUGAGACUCCAAAAGUCAGAAAAGUAGCAACUGCACCUCCUGCACCCUCGUAUAAAGGUACAUAGUUUCUGAAUUGAAUCUGUGCGAGGAGAGAGAAUUUAUUUGGCUUGUGAAGCAAAGAUUGUGGUUUCUAUUGUAACACCCUACCUAAGAAAGAAACAUAUUAAAAACAAAGGAUUAUGACUUCCCACCUUCCAAACUUUACUUGCAAUUUCCAUCCAUGAAGGUGAUUUUUUUUCGGAUGCAUUGUCCAUGAGUCAAAUUCACAAGCCUUGGAUUGUGCCAGGCUCUCUGUAGAGGUUAUUUGCUUUUAGUUAUUUUAGAUUAUUUGACAUUGUUUUAACUAUCAUAGCUGCAAACUAUUUUGAUAGCACAGUAUUUUAUCUGAGGGACUUUUCUGAUAUGACUUACGCAAAAUUACUGAUUGCACAUGCACAGCAACCACACAAUAGUGUUUGCAUUUUCGUAGUUCUGUAGGCAUCAGUCAAUGAUGUAUAUAAGUUAUUCUGAAGUUUAUGCUGAACUUCCCCCCCUUGCACUUCUUUUUUGCUGUAAUGUCUCUUCCUUAUCUGAUACCUCAUAAUUCUACACAGAAAGUUCUCAUUUCACCUGUUUUUAUGUAGCAUAAAUUUGGAAUUGGGGUUCUCUCAUGGAUGACAGAGGUCUCCAAGUAGGUAGUGCAGCUCCCUCUACAGCUCAGAGACAAGAAAUGCUUCAGCAAAUACUUUUGCUCCUCCCCUCUUGUUAAGGCUCAGUUUUAGUUUCCUGUCUCAGCUCGGAGCACAUCCUAUUGAGUUGUCUUCCUCUGAAGGAUAAUAGUUUCUUCUCCCUUGCUGUGUUUUAUCUCUUUAUUUGUUUCUUACGCUUCUUUCCCGUUUGUUGUUCUUACUUAAAAAAGAUAAAAUCUGUCACAUUCUUCAUCUCCUUCCCUCUGUCAGUUUUCUUCGCCUUCUGUCAGCUGUCUUUCUUGUUCUUCUCCCUGCAAGACAUGUACAAAACGAAAGGUCAGGCAGCAAGAAGAAAUAUUCUAAAAGCCUGGGGAGCAAUCGGCAGUGGCCGCAGUCAGUUCCCGCCUGCUCUGACUUCCCGCCAAUUUUCAGCAAGGGCUGCUUAUUGGCGGUGAUGACCCGCUUGAAGGGAUGCCUUCACGGCUUAGCUUCGCAGCCCCCAUAAGCCUACACACAAUUACCAAGGCCUCAGCAUCCAGCUGCAGGCAGUUUUCAACAAAAAGGCAUUUUAAGAGUUCUGGGCAGCACUCGGCGGUAGCCAGUACCCAGCUGCAGGCAGCCUUCAAAGAAAAGGCAUUUUAAGAAAUUUGGGCAGUAGUCGGUGGUAGCCGCAGUCAGUACCCAGCUGCGGGCAGCCUUCAAAGAAAAGGCAUUUUAAGAGCUUUGGGCAGCACUCAGUGGUAGCUGCAGGCAGCACCCAGCCACUACAGAUUCAUGCCAUUAUGCGGCAGGCACCAAAACUGGAUGCUGAUGAUCCCGCUGAGGGGAUUUCAUCAAGGGGCUCUGCGCUGUCCCCAGUAGGUAAGUCCAUGGAGGUGUCAUUAAGAUCUCUGGGGUUCAGGGAAGCAACAGUGCCUGCCACUGCAGAAAGGAGUGGAGCAGCGGCACUGUGUGUUUGGAGCAGCCUGCCAUUUCUGAGGCAGCACCUGCUCAUUUAUGUGCUCAUUUAUGUGCUCAUUUAUGAGCACAACAGAGGCGCCCGCCAUUUGGAGCACAGUGGAGCUGCUACACCUGACGAAUUGCAUUUUUCAGACCUCCCAUAUUUAAUGCCAAGUGUGUAUUGGGAGCAAGAACCCCAUCCUCUGUUGAGGAGGUGGUAGUAAUGGGGUAUGGCCAAAAGCCACACUUCGGUUGUAGAACAACAGCCUGUUCGCAGAACAGCAAAGUGCAACGGGUUAACACCCCCCCCAUCCAGCAACAGCUCUUGCUGCCCAACCUUUUUUCACCUGAGGUGUGAAAUUUGCUCCUGGCGGCUUUAGAGCUCAAACUGCUCUCUACUGUGUGCAAUGAUUUUGGCCUUGCUAUUUUUGCCCUUGGCUGCGUUUAGAGGUCUAACUGGUCCCCUCUGCUGUAUGUAGUUAUUUGGCUUUGCUCAUCCACCGCACUCCUCUCCCAGUGUGUGUGUUGAUUAAUCAGGAAUUUAUCCAUAUAAUAUCUGGUACCGCUUCCUUUCACUGUAUGAGUGUAACCAUGGCUGAGCCAUCCUGGGCUGUUUUUACAGAUAUCUUUAUUGAGGCACAGCGCAGUGAUACACAGCUGCAGCCAUCUCAGUGGCCAGCUGUUCUCAUACAUUUCAUGGCCCGUAUCAGCAGGAAUUCCACCAGGAAAAAUGUUGACGUGCAAUUUGGGCUUCGCCUUGUGUGUCCAGUACGUGGUCACCUCAGGCCCUCAGGUAAGCAAGGCAGCCAAUACCUUCCAGGUAUUCCUCCUCAAAAAUUGCACCAGAGCAGCAACGUUUAGUGUGGACGUUGCUUGUGGUGAGAGAAAUGGGCAGCUCUUUAUCACUCUCUACUGCAUUUUGGGCCCUAGCCUGUCCAGUGACUGUGAAAGGGCUUAGCUUUCCACUCAGAACCCUGAGGAUAUGGCCUAGCUUUGCUAUGCAUAAUCCUUGGGCAGAGAUAUGGUGUAGGCCUCUCCUGAAGAGGUUUCCCGCCAUUUUUAUGGUCCUAAUCUGUCCAGUGACUAGAAAGGGCCUAACUUUAUUGUUAGGAGCUCUUGGACAGAUAUGACAUAGCCCUUAGCUGAGGAUUUUCCUGCCAUUUUUAUGGUACCUGAGGAGGUUCCCACCAUUUUAUGGUCCUACUCUGCCCAGUGAUGGCAGAAAGGGCCUAGCUUUCCAUUCAGAGCCCUUGGACAGGAAUAUGGCAUAGUCCUUUGGUUUUCCCGCCUUUUUUAUGGUACCUCUGUUGGCACUUGAUCCUGGUGUCUCUAGUGACUGUGGAAAGGGCCUAGCUUUCCAUUCAGAACUGUUGGGCAGAGAUAUGUCAUAGUCGCCAACUGAAAAGCUUUCCCGCCCUUCUUUACGAGAGGUGCUGGAACAGCAGGUUCAAUAUUUCUAAGAGACCUGAUUCCCUUUUUCCCUAGGCCUGAACACCAGCAGGCUGUUCCCAGGGCAACAGUAGAAUAAUGUCAUGACUCCUCUAGGGGGGCUCAUUGUACUGAAGGCAUAUGGAUUACCUCAUGAGUCUCAGCUCAAAGCUCCAGUUCUCUCAAGGCCUGAAUGGCAGCAGGCCAUCUCUAAAGGCAACAGCAACCUGGUGGCUCCUCUAGGGGACCUCGGUGUAAGGAGGGCAUAUGUUAUGUUGUUAUGUUUCCUUUUAUUGUUCAUAGCCAUUGGCCGUCACAAAGAGAUAUUAAUACAAGAAUUUCAAGAGAGGACAGUUGAUACAGAGAAUAUAUAUAAGCAUUUCGAGGUUAAAAAUUACAAAAAUUCAACGGAAAUAGAAGAUUAUAUAAAAUUAUUUCAAUUAAAAUUAUCGGACCAAACAAAAAGUGCUAAAAUCAGGAUAAAAUUGGGGCUUCUACUAAAUGUUUUUGAUAUCUAGUUCUUAUUUUCCGUGCCGCUAGGGCGAAUUUUGCCACUUGGGUGGUUAUAAAUAUGUCAUUGCCCACAAGUAAAUUGCAUAUUUGUUCCAAGGGAGGUCUAUUUUACAGGAGGUGGGGAAUAGCCGAGAAAAGUUUCUGCCUUGGAGAUUUAUAUAAGGGACAGCCUAGUAAAUAAUGAACCAUAUCUUCAACCGCAUCAUUUUGGCAGAUACAGAGCCUUUGAUGGACUGGAACAUUUGCAUACCUCCCCUCCCUGAAAGCCAAGGGCAUGGACUGCAAACGUAAGGCGGUAAAGGAUUUUCUCAAAGAUGGAACUGUAAGGAAAGAAAAGUAUUUCUCCAGGCCGAAGGUAGUUUUAUACAGGGGGAACCAGGUAGAGAAAGAUGAUUGGGUAGCUGCGUGGAAGUCCCAUCUUUUAGAGUAGAAAAAGAUUCUUUCUUUGAGGAGCUGUUUCGCAUUAGGAGAGGGGUGAGAAGGUAGAAUUUCUGUGUUAAUCCCAUAAGCGGCCAGAAUAGGUAUAACUAAAUUUAUCCAGCAACCAAGUGAUGGGGUCUGCAAUUAUUCUAAAAGGCAUUUCUUUGGGAGACAGGAGGCACUCAUACACACCAGCCUCAGCCAGUAGGUGGCAAGUGCAGCGUGAACAGAGGAUUGUAUAGAGUAAAGCCCUGUUUCUGUUCUCAAAAGGUAUGCAGGUGUAGCAUGCGGGACAACAAGAAGAGAUCUCAAAAAAAUAUUCUGUGUUAUCUCCAGAGUGGAGAUAUUUGUGUACCCCCAAAUUUCAGCACCAUAGAGGAGUUGUGGAACUACCUUUCGCCGAAACACCUCAACAGCAGGCGUAACCAGACCUCCCCCUUUGAACUUUGAAAAACGCAACAGCGAUUGAACGGAAUAGGAAGCUUUCAAUUUGGCUGUAGCAAGAUGAAGUUUCCAUGCAAGUUGGGCAUUAAAUCCCAAUCCCAAGU